AGCAGCCGCGGUAAUUCCAGCUCCAAUAGCGUAUAUUAAAGUUGUUGCAGUUAAAAAGCUCGUAGUUGAAUUUUGGGAUCAGUAGGUUGGUCGUGCCAAUGGUAUGUACUGGCUUCACUAAUUCCUCCUUCUUGAAGAACUGUAAUAUCAUUAAUUUGGUGUUGCAGGAAAACAGAACUGUUACUUUGAAAAAAUUAGAGUGUUUAAAGCAGGCUAACGCUUGAAUACAUUAGCAUGGAAUAAUGAAAUAGGAUGUUUGACCCUAUUUUGUUGGUUUCUAGGAUCGAUGUAAUGAUUAAUAGGGAUAGUUGGAGGCAUUAGUAUUCAAUUGUCAGAGGUGAAAUUCUUGGAUUUAUUGAAGACUGACUACUGCGAAAGCAUUUGCCAAGGAUGUUUUCAUUAAUCAAGAACGAAAGUUAGGGGAUCGAAAACGAUCAGAUACCGUCGUAGUCUUAACCAUAAACUAUGCUGACUAGGGAUCGGAUGAUGUUAAUUUUUAAUGACUCAUUC
rnacentral:rRNA from 1 species